AUUGAACGCUGGCGGCAUGCCUUACACAUGCAAGUCGAACGGUAACGGGCCUUCGGGUGCCGACGAGUGGCGAACGGGUGAGUAAUACAUCGGAACGUGCCCGAUCGUGGGGGAUAACGAGGCGAAAGCUUUGCUAAUACCGCAUACGAUCUACGGAUGAAAGCAGGGGACCGCAAGGCCUUGCGCGGACGGAGCGGCCGAUGGCAGAUUAGGUAGUUGGUGGGAUAAAAGCUUACCAAGCCGACGAUCUGUAGCUGGUCUGAGAGGAUGAUCAGCCACACUGGGACUGAGACACGGCCCAGACUCCUACGGGGGGCAGCAGUGGGGAAUUUUGGACAAAGGGCGCAAGCCUGAUCCAGCCAUGCCGCGUGCAGGAUGAAGGCCUUCGGGUUGUAAACUGCUUUUGUACGGAACGAAAAGCCUUCUUUUAAUACAGGAGGGUCAUGACGGUACCGUAAGAAUAAGCACCGGCUAACUACGUG
rnacentral:rRNA from 1 species